AGAGGGAGCUGAACAGAGCCAAGGCUUGGGCACGGCUGUGCAGAGAGGGAAUUCGGCCCCUGGUCUCUUGCAACCAACAGCGCGACUUCUCCCUGCAGGGCAGGGGAGGCAAUAGAGAAGGAGGGGCUCCAAGAAGAAGCUAGAGGUGAACUUGCCCAGCUCGGACUAGGCCUAGAGAGGCUGAAUGAUGUGGCGUCACCCGGAAACAGCGUUUACCCUCCUUAUCCUCUUCCCUCCUGCCUGAAAACACUAAUCCAGAUGAUGGACAAUAAUUCAGUUAGUCAUCUUCUCUGAUGGGGGCUGAGAUCCAGGCUGGGAUCCCGUGGAAGUGCCGGGUGAGUCAUUAUGCUGAGGCUGCAGGGACACCCCGCCCCAUUACUGAGCACCCCGUGGUUCACGUGUUGGUGCAGCUGCCAGCUCCUCAGACCACCAUUCCAACAAAAAGCCCUCAUCCCUGAAUGCAGGGACACACUCCUAGAGUGUGCCUCCCCCACUCCACCUGGGACCUGGGCAGCCGCAGUGGACUCAGUCACACAGCGUCCUCACUGGUCUGGAAAACUCCCUGAGCCAAGCCUCAGGCAUCUCAGAUGUGCCCUAUCUGCCCCCUGCGCUGUGGUGAGAAGGAGGACUUGCCCCACCCCAGGGCCCCUCUUGCCACACCCAGAGCAAAACACAUCUGGGAGCCUCUGGGACUCUCUCUGCCCCACUUCCAGACCCCCAGACCCCAUCACAUCCCAGCCCCGGGACCAUUUCCAUCUCCAAGCUCAUCCCAGGACUCUCUCUACUGGAAACCACUUGAGCCUUUCCUUAGGAUGGCGUUGCCAAGAGGGGCAUCUCUCCUCAUUCUCAUAAAGGCACCUUAUGUGCUAGAGGCAGCCUUGUCAGGGUGGGUCCUCUGGCCUGGCGAGUCAAUGAGUCAUUUUCAGAGGUUGACCGUGAGCAAAUCUUCCGAUGGCUGGUGCCCCACUAAGCCAAGGAGGAACAGAAAUCAUUCGGAAGCCAGGACGCAAGGGUAAAUUUGACCCAAAAAAAUUUAUUGUACAAUUACCCACCACUAGAUUUGACUCAGAGAGGACCCCCAGAGGGUGUCUCCAUCUUCCCUAUUUAUUUUCAGCCCUUGAGGGCUUCAUUGUAGAUCAAAGCCAAGGCCCCCAGGAAGGUGACAUACUCCUGGAAGUUCACCUCCUGGUCCUUGUUCCGGUCCAAGUCUUCCAUCAGCCUUGCAAUUUCAGCAUCCUGCAGUUUCUAAUGUGUUAGAAUGUGAAAUCCAGACUCAGUGGUGAUGACAACCCUGGAUUCUUCCCCUUCCCCCUCCCAGGCAACCCUCUCUGCAAGUGGCUCUGUGCUCCCUCAUCACCAAGAACCCACGUCCACCUUGGGUUUCACUUUGGCAUUGCUUCUCCUCAGCUACUCCUGUUACUGGUCCUCAUUUGGAGAGCUAGAUAUCCAGCUGGGAGCAUCCCCUACCCGCUGGAAGAGUGGGUCUAUAGCUCAGUAAGACAUGGGAACCAGGGCCUCAGAAUGUGGGUAAAUGUGAGUCAGAUGCACCUGGCACCUCUCUCUCCCCUAAUCCUGCUUCCAAAGGACAAGGGUGGGAAAAGAGGUCCUGGGGAGGAGGCCACUCACCGAGCCAAUGGUGAGCUCCUUCUGGAUCAGCUCCUUCAGCUCCUUCUUGCUCAGGGUGUGCUUGUCACCCUCCCUGCCAGAGUACUUGUGGAAGAU